GACGAACGCUGGCGGCGUGCUUAACACAUGCAAGUCGAACGGAAAGGCCCUGCUUUUGUGGGGUGCUCGAGUGGCGAACGGGUGAGUAACACGUGAGUAACCUGCCCUUGACUUUGGGAUAACUUCAGGAAACUGGGGCUAAUACCGGAUAGGAGCUCCUGCUGCAUGGUGGGGGUUGGAAAGUUUCGGCGGUUGGGGAUGGACUCGCGGCUUAUCAGCUUGUUGGUGGGGUAGUGGCUUACCAAGGCUUUGGCGGGUAGCCGGCCUGAGAGGGUGACCGGCCACAUUGGGACUGAGAUACGGCCCAGACUCCUACGGGAGGCAGCAGUGGGGAAUAUUGCACAAUGGGCGGAAGCCUGAUGCAGCAACGCCGCGUGCGGGAUGACGGCCUUCGGGUUGUAAACCGCUUUCGCCUGUGACGAAGCGUGAGUGACGGUAAUGGGUAAAGAAGCACCGGCUAACUACGUGCCAGCAGCCGCGGUGAUACGUAGGGUGCGAGCGUUGUCCGGAUUUAUUGGGCGUAAAGGGCUCGUAGGUGGUUGAUCGCGUCGGAAGCGUAAUCUUGGGGCUUAACCCUGAGCGUGCUUUCGAUACGGGUUGACUUGAGGAAAGGUAGGGGAGAAUGGAAUUCCUGGUGGAGCGGUGGAAUGCGCAGAUAUCAGGAGGAACACCAGUGGCGAAGGCGGUUCUCUGGGCCUUUCCUGACGCUGAGGAGCGAAAGCGUGGGGAGCGAACAGGCUUAGAUACCCUGGUAGUCCACGCUGUAAACGGUGGGUACUAGGUGUGGGGUCCAUUCCACGGGUUCCGUGCCGUAGCUAACGCUUUAAGUACCCCGCCUGGGGAGUACGGCCGCAAGGCUAAGACUCAAAGGAAUUGACGGGGCCCCGCACAAGCGGCGGAGCAUGCGGAUUAAUUCGAUGCAACGCGUAGAACCUUACCUGGGUUUGACAUGGAUCGGGAGUGCUCAGAGAUGGGUGUGCCUCUUUUGGGGUCGGUUCACAGGUGGUGCAUGGCUGUCGUCAGCUCGUGUCGUGAGAUGUUGGGUUAAGUCCCGCAACGAGCGCAACCCUUGUUCACUGUUGCCAGCACGUUAUGGUGGGGACUCAGUGGAGACCGCCGGGGUCAACUCGGAGGAAGGUGGGGAUGACGUCAAGUCAUCAUGCCCCUUAUGUCCAGGGCUUCACGCAUGCUACAAUGGCUGGUACAGAGAGUGGCGAGCCUGUGAGGGUGAGCGAAUCUCGGAAAGCCGGUCUCAGUUCGGAUUGGGGUCUGCAACUCGACCUCAUGAAGUCGGAGUCGCUAGUAAUCGCAGAUCAGCAACGCUGCGGUGAAUACGUUCCCGGG
rnacentral:rRNA from 1 species